AGGGCACCACCAGGAGUGGAGCCUGCGGCUUAAUUUGACUCAACACGGGAAAUCUCACCAGGCCCGGACACCGGAAGGAUUGACAGAUUGAGAGCUCUUUCUUGAUUCGGUGGGUGGUGGUGCAUGGCCGUUCUUAGUUGGUGGAGCGAUUUGUCUGGUUAAUUCCGAUAACGAACGAGACUCUGGCCUACUAAAUAGACUGUAGACCCCUUUGUGGGUCUAUCGCAGCUUCUUAGAGGGACGGGCGGCGUUCAGCCGCACGAGAUUGAGCAAUAACAGGUCUGUGAUGCCCUUAUAUGUUCUGGGCUGCACACGCGCUACACUGAAGGAAUCAGCGUGUGUUCCCUGCCCGAAAGGACUGGUAAACCCGUUGAACCUCCUUCGUGAUGGGGAUUGGGGAUUGCAAUUAUUCCCCAUGAACGAGGAAUUCCCAGCAUGCGCGGGUCAUAAGCUUGCGUCGAUUACGUCCCUGCCCUUUGUACACACCGCCCGUCGCUACUACCGAUCGAGUGAUUUAGU
rnacentral:rRNA from 1 species